rnacentral:rRNA from 1 species
GGGCAGCGAAGCCGCGAGGUGGAGCAAAUCCCAGAAAACUGAUCUCAGUUCGGAUUGCAGGCUGCAACCCGCCUGCAUGAAGUCGGAAUCGCUAGUAAUCGCGGGUCAGCAUACCGCGGUGAAUACGUUCCCGGGCCUUGUACACACCGCCCGUCACACCACGAAAGUUGGUAACACCCGAAGCCGGUGGCCUAACCCUUAGGGGAGGGAGCUGUCGAAGGUGGGACUGAUGAUUGGGGUGAAGUCGUAACAAGGUAAC